UUUUAGGCAACUUCUAGCAAGAGUACAAGAUAUUCAUAAACCAUUUGCACAGAUUAUAAGUUAAAAUCAAUUAAAGAAAGAGGCAAAGAAAGGAAGACAAUAUUAGGAGAAGCAAGUCAAGAAAAGCUGCAGCAUUUAGACUUGUGACAGGUGGGACAUCGCCUCAGCAUGGCUUAGAUGAGUGGUGCUGGGUCCACACCCAGGAUCCAAACUGGUGAAACCCUGGGCUGCCAAAGAGGAACGUGCGAACUUAACCACUCGGCCACAGGACCCGCCCCAGGAAUGUAAUCUACAUUUCACUGUAUGAUCUAUUCUUCCAUUUAAAAGAAGAGUUUGCCAGGAAAGCCGCUGUCUCAAGAAUAUCGAGGAGCGGAUGCUUUCCAGACCUCAACUCCUCACUCCCGGCGCUUGAACCCGCCUCAAACAGGAAGACGAGACAAGAGACAACGGCGAAGGAUGCCCACCUGCCAUCCUCCUAUCUCACCCUCCCCCGCGGCCUUGCUGCAAGCAGCCUCUCAACGCCAAACUCAGGCUGGUGGGAAAGCACCCACCUGCACAAGCUACAUGCGCCCCCUCCCCUACCCAAAACCCCAAAUAAAAAUCCCUACCCAUUCCUCAUCGGGGAGCUAGCAAUUUUUGAGGCAUGAGCCCUUGCUUUGCUCCCUGUGCCUGGCAUAGUAAAAACCUUU
rnacentral:lncRNA from 1 species